GUCAUAGCGACUUUUGGGAUAGUUUGCUAUCGACAAAGGGAGACAAAGUCAAGGGGUGAAGGGAAAGGAGGGCCAAGUAGAGCCUCCACGACCCUCGGCUUCCUCCUCACCAGCUCCCCCUCCCUCCAAGUCCAGUAAGAAGUUGGGCCAAGCUGGAAGGGAUUGACCGGGUUGCUUGUCUGGAGAUGGAGCCACUACAGGCGGGCCUGGGCGCCUGGAGUCGGGCAUGAAAGAAAAUAGCGCCUCAUCGCUCUUAUCUAAGCCCAGAGGUAGACUUCGCUUGAAAAGAUCGAGAAUGGAGGAGGGGAUCGGCACUCACUUGCAGACAUCAACAGUUUCCAGAAAAUUCGGUUCAAUUCCUUCACCACGGACCCACCAACCAAGGAGCUGGCAAAACCCACUAACCAACCAGGAGAACACAGACCCGGUUUGUCUUUUGACAACCGAGUGGAACUGACGGGGCCGGCGCCUGCCCUGCGGGUCCCCUCCCUUGGCUGAGAAGAAAACCAAAUAAACCUUGAACAGCCUUGGCUUCG
rnacentral:lncRNA from 1 species